UACGGGGGGGACAAGCGUUGUUCGGAUUUACUGGGCGUAAAGGGCGCGUAGGCGGACCUUCAAGUCGGGUGUGAAACCCCCGGGCUUAACCCGGGGUCUGCAUUUGAUACUGUCGGUCUUGAGUACAGGAGAGGAGAGUGGAAUUCCAGGUGUAGCGGUGAAAUGCGUAGAUAUCUGGAAGAACACCAGUAGCGAAGGCGGCUCUCUGGACUGAUACUGACGCUCAAGCGCGAAGGCUUGGGGAGCAAACAGG
rnacentral:rRNA from 1 species